GACGAACGCUGGCGGCGUGCUUAACACAUGCAAGUCGAGCGGAAAGGCCCUUUCGGGGGUACUCGAGCGGCGAACGGGUGAGUAACACGUGAGUAAUCUGCCCCUGGCUUUGGGAUAGCCACCGGAAACGGUGAUUAAUACCGGAUACGACCACUUCCCGCAUGGGAUGGUGGUGGAAAGUUUUUCGGCCAGGGAUGUGCUCGCGGCCUAUCAGCUUGAUGGUGAGGUAAUGGCUCACCAUGGCUUCGACGGGUAGCCGGCCUGAGAGGGUGACCGGUCACACUGGGACUGAGGCACGGCCCAGACUCCUACGGGAGGCAGCAGUGGGGAAUAUUGGACAAUGGGCGGAAGCCUGAUCCAGCAACGCCGCGUGAGGGAUGACGGCCUUCGGGUUGUAAACCUCUUUCAGCAGGGACGAAGCGCAAGUGACGGUACCUGCAGAAGAAGCACCGGCCAACUACGUGCCAGCCGCCGCGGUAA
rnacentral:rRNA from 1 species